CUCCCUGGAGUCUGCCUGGUGAUUCUGCCCUUGCCCUUUCAGUCCGGCCCCCUGAACCCUGUUCCAGGAGUGGGCUCACAGAGGAAAACAACGAUUAGUGCCUGAAUGAGGGACUCCCAUAUACUGGGUAAAUACUGAAGUUUCAGCAAGGCCAAUGAGAUAUUCUUAUUUAGAAUGGCAACAUAAGAAUUAGUUUUUCUCCAGUGGUCAUAUUUCAUAAGAGAUUAAUACAACUUCUUUUUUGUGCAAGAUGACAUACAAAUAAUGAAGAUAGGAAAUAUGUGAUUACUUUUCUUGACGGACAAUCUUCAACAUGGCAUGAUGAAAAAAGAAAAAGAAAAAAUAAGUGCUUCAGGAGCCAAAAAUCAGACACAUUCUCAUAAUUUUAUGACACUGAUGAAACUCAGAAAGCUUACAUAAACUGAUCAGAUGUCUUACUUUGUAGGAGAUAAGGCUAAGAUCUGGGUCUAGGCGGACUGAUUUUCAAGCUCAGACUUCUAAGCACUACACUAUCCUAUCUUAAAGUUAAUUAAGUACAGGAAACAAUAUUUUAGAGAAUUUAUUUCUCUUUACUCAUUUGUUUGUUUCAAAAUAAAUUUUAAAUAAAUGUUGAUAUCC